AUUGAACGCUGGCGGCAGGCUUAACACAUGCAAGUCGAGCGGAGAGAGGUAGCUUGCUACUGAUCUUAGCGGCGGACGGGUGAGUAAUGCUUAGGAAUCUGCCUAUUAGUGGGGGACAACAUUUCGAAAGGAAUGCUAAUACCGCAUACGUCCUACGGGAGAAAGCAGGGGAUCUUCGGACCUUGCGCUAAUAGAUGAGCCUAAGUCGGAUUAGCUAGUUGGUGGGGUAAAGGCCUACCAAGGCAACGAUCUGUAGUUGGUCUGAGAGGACGACCAGCCACACUGGGACUGAGACACGGCCCAGACUCCUACGGGAGGCAGCAGUGGGGAAUUUUGGACAAUGGGCGAAAGCCUGAUCCAGCCAUGCCGCGUGUCUGAAGAAGGCCUUCGGGUUGUAAAGGACUUUUGUCGGGGAGGAAAUCCCCAGCGCUAAUACCGCUGGGGGAUGACAGUACCUGAAGAAUAAGCACCGGCUAACUACGUGCCAGCCGCCGCUGUAAGAC
rnacentral:rRNA from 1 species